rnacentral:lncRNA from 1 species
AAAGCCCUCAUCGACUAUGAGAACUCAAACGAAGCUCUGGAUAAGGCCUGGUUAAAGAGCAAAGAUGUCAAGUUGGCUGAGGUACACCAGCAGGAGUGCUGCCAGAAAUUUGAACAACUUUCCAAAUCUGCAAAAGAAGAGCUGAUAAAUUUCAAACGGAAGAGAGUGGCAGCAUUUAGAAAGAAUCUAAUUGAAAUGUCUGAACUGGAAAUAAAACAUGCCAGGAACAAUGUCUCCCUUUUGCAGAGCUGUAUUGACUUGUUCAAGAAUAACUGA